rnacentral:rRNA from 1 species
UACGUAGGGGGCAAGCGUUGUCCGGAAUCAUUGGGCGUAAAGAGCGUGUAGGCGGUCCGAUAAGUCCGCUCUGAAAGCCCGGGGCUCAACCCCGGGAGGCGGGCGGAUACUGUCGGGCUAGAGUCCGGAAGAGGCGAGUGGAAUUCCUGGUGUAGCGGUGGAAUGCGCAGAUAUCAGGAGGAACACCGAUAGCGAAGGCAGCUCGCUGGGACGGUACUGACGCUGAGGUGCGAAAGCGUGGGGAGCGAACAGG